UUGGAGGGCAAGUCUGGUGCCAGCAGCCGCGGUAAUUCCAGCUCCAAUAGCGUAUAUUAAAGUUGUUGCAGUUAAAAAGCUCGUAGUUGAAUUUCGGGAUCAAUGUUUCGGUCAUGCCGUUGGUAUGUACUGAUAUUAUUGAUUUCUCACCUUCUAAAGAACCGUAAUGCCAUUAAUUUGGUGUCACGGGGAAUUAGGACUGUUACCUUGAAAAAAUUAGAGUGUUUAAAGCAGGCUCACGUUUGAAUACAUUAGCAUGGAAUAAUGAAAUAGGACAUCCGAUUCUAUUUCGUUGGUUUCUAGGAUCGAUGUAAUGAUUAAUAGGGAUAGUUGGGGGCAUUAGUAUUCAAUUGUCAGAGGUGAAAUUCUUGGAUUUAUUGAAGACUAACUACUGCGAAAGCAUUUGCCAAGGAUGUUUUCAUUAAUCAAGAACGAAAGUUAGGGGAUCGAAGACGAUCAGAUACCGUCGUAGUCUUAACCAUAAACUAUGCCGACUAGGGAUCGGAUGAUGUUAAUUUUUUAAUGACUCAUUCGGCGCCUUACGGGAAAC
rnacentral:rRNA from 1 species